CGUACAUGUGCCUAAAUCAGAAAAAACAAUCUUAUAUAUUUCUGUGCUAACAAGACUAUACAAUGGAUGAAUACUCUCGUGUAAAAUCAACCAAGCUGGUUUUAAAAGGUCUUAACAAAGGAAAAAAGAAGAAAAACAAAGAUAAGAAGCGAAAAGCAGCCGAUGAUGAAGAAAAAGUGGAUGUUAUUGCCGGUUGGUGGUCUGUCAGUAGUUUUGGGGAAAUUACUGGGAUGGUUGCCAUAGAGAUGCAGAACAACGCAUAUGUUCAUGCUCUGGAUACUGGGCUCUUCACACUUGGUGCCCCGCACAAAGAUGAUGAAGGUCCAGACCCCCCUGAGCAGUUUACCGCCGUUAAGCUCUCAGACACAAGGAUAGCUUUAAAGUCUGGAUAUGGAAAGUAUUUGGGGAUCAACUCUGACGGUGUGGUUGUUGGGCGCUCUGAUGCCAUUGGCUCCAGGGAACAGUGGGAGCCUGUUUUCCAGCAUGGCAAAAUGGCUCUCCUGGCAGCGAAUAGCUGUUUCAUCUCCUACAGCGACAGUGGGGACAUCGUGGCCAAGAACAAGACAGCAGGGGAUGGCGAGAUGGUGAAGAUCCGAUCAAGUGCAGAACGAGAGGUAAAGCGUAAAGACGACCUUGCAGAUGAGGACAGAGGCAAUGUGAAGUCCUGUGAGAUCAAUUACGUGUACGUAACCUCUGUUGAAGAAGUUUCAGAGUUUCCAAGAUCGUCGACUCAGGGUUAAUGAGGAAGACUCCUCCAAGCUAAAGAGAGCCAGAAUGGAUGGGAAGUUUCAUGAAGCUCUGCUCGACAGGAGGAGUAAAAUGAAAGCGGACCGGUACUGCAAGUGAAGACUCAAUUUCCUGUGACACAGAUCUUUUCAUAAAUGUCUUUAUUUUUUACACCUGACCAUUUGAUCUGAUGUGUAAUGUUUAUUUUUUAUUGUAAUAAACAGUGCUCUGUGAAAU